GGAGGAGGAGACUGAAAGGUCCUGACCACCCUUGCACCAACCGGGCCUAACCAGCCACGGAGAGCACAGCGGCAGAGGUGACAAGCCAGAGGAUACCUACUGGAGGGAUGCAGUCCAGGGAGCUGCUCCGACACGGAAGAGGAAGGAGCAAUGGGGGAUCGAGCCACCCUGUGGAGACCGGGACACCCUGAGAGAAGAUGGCCUCAUUUCAGAACCUCCAAGUUCGCACUUCACCCUCGGCGCCAGGCGGUGAGGAGAAGCACCAGAGGAGGAAGGAGGAGGAGGUGGUGAAGACUUAGAGGUCACGACCACCCCUACGCCCACCGGACCAAAUCAAUCACGGAGAGCACGGCGGCAGCAGUGACAGGCCAGAUGCUGGGGAGAAAUUCCUCUUUUUGGAGAGAAAUGAGUAUAUCCGGGCCCUCGGGGAGACCGCGAGCUUGUUGUGGGUGGGAAAGGUGGACUGUGUUCCGUUUGGGUAUCCCGGAAAUUUGAUUUCACUAAUCCAACUUUUAGAUUUUUUUUUUAUCUGGGGGGAGAAAUGAACAAAGGAUUUUAGUCUCUAGAAGGAACCCCAAACCAGGCCCAGAAGCCCCUGGAUGAUUUCUCCUACUCUGACGUGUCACCGAGUUGCCUUUUAGAUACCUCCUGGAGGGUUGCAGUCCGGGGAGCUGCCCCGACGCGGAAGAGGAAGGAGCGAUGGGGGAUCGAGCCGCCCUGUGGAGACCGGGACACCCUGAGAGAAGAUGGCCUCAUUUCAGAACCUCCAAGUACCCACUUCACCCUCAGCGCGAGGCGGUUAGAAGAAGCACCAGAAGAGGAAGGAGGAGGAGGCGGAGAAGACUUACAGGCCCUGACCACCCCACGCCCACUGGACCUAAUCAUUCACAGAGAGCAUGGCGGCAGCAGUGACAAGCCAGAUGCUGGGGAGAAAUUCCUCUUUUUGGAGAGAAAUGAGUAUAUCCGGGCCCUCGGGGAGACCGCGAGCUUGUUGUGGGUGGGAAAGGUGGACUGUGUUCCGUUUGGGUAUCCCGGAAAUUUGAUUUCACUAAUCCAACUUUUAGAUUUUUUUUUAUCUGGGGGGAGAAAUGAACAAAGGAUUUUAGUCUCUGGAAGGAACCCCAAACCAGGCCAAGAAGCCCCUGGAUGAUUUCUCCUACUCUGCCAUGUCACUGAGUUGCCUUUUAGAUACCUCCUGGAGGGUUGCAGUCCGGGGAGCUGCCCCACGCGGAAGAAGAAGGGAGCAGCGAUGGGGGAUCGAGCCUCCCCGUGUUGACCUGGACACCCGGAGAGAAGAUGGAAAUUGACCUGUCCAUCUGAAAAAAAAAAAUAAGUAUCUCCUCAUAGACUAACCCAAAACAAUCUGGAAAUAUCGGCUCCUAGUAUCAAAGGAUUUGAACCCAGAUAGGUUUCUUGCACAUUUUUCUAUUCCAGACCAAACGGUCUUUGGACUUUUCCUCACAGAAUAUUUCUCCAAUCCAUUUUCCGGGGAAAGAACUCUGGUCAGGAUGUUGCUCUUACUCCUUAAAAUUCAGUCAGGACAGGUGAGAGGUACGGGGAGCCUUUAGUUAUGAAGCAAUAAUAAGGAAAAUGAAAAGAGAGAUUAAAUAUGGAGUACUGCUAGGAAAUUUAAAAGUAGGGAAAAAACGGAAGCUUACUGUGAAUUUCCAAGGGAAAUUUACCUCAUAGCUCCUUAAAAAGAAUGAAUAAAAUGUCUUGAGGCAAGGCUCCCUGACUUAGGGCAGUUCACUCUCCGGACUAUUGGGAUUGGGUUAAUACUCCAGGUGAGGAGGUUUGGAAUAGUGCAAGAAGAGAUAAGAGCAAAUGCUUUCACAUCUCUCUCUCAUGCUGUGAUUCUGAAUGAGGUCUGGAAAAGAAUUCCUGCUCUACCUACACUGAAAACAGUGGUGUGGUCUGUGCUCAAACCCCAGGUGAUGUUUUUCAGAGACUCAACCUACCUACUUGUGGGAUCACCCCAUCAAGUCAGCAUCCGGACAGGUAGGCCGAACUGCGGGCUCAGACAUCAGCAGAAGCCGACCCCCGGGAGGGAUAUUGGAAGGACGAAGCCUGCGGCCAGAGAAGGCUUUCGCCACAGAUCGUGCGGCAAGAGAUGGGAAAAGGGAAAGCCCUUUUAGGCUCCCCUACACUGAUUCUCCCCCCUUCCCCCUUCCCUCCCCCCAGUGCAGUGUCCUAGGUCUUUAUGGCUAGGAACGGGGAGGGGGUAAAAAGAAAGUUUUCUCUAUGCACACCGUCUCCUGCUCUUCUGUACCUACCUUAGGUCUUCGUGGCCUGAAAAGGUACUGUGGGAUUUAAAAAAGGAGCAUUUUGCUUUAUGCAACAAACUCUCCUACUUAUUUGUCCACCUGAGGACUUAGAGACCUGCAGAGAAAAUCGAUGAGGAGGGAAAGGAGAAAUCUGCUCUAUAUGCCAUUACAUCUCCUGUUCAUUACUCCACCUCAGGCCUUUAAGGUCUUCUACUGGAGAUGAACUACAGAGUAUUUGAGCUGCCAGAGGAGAAAUCUGCUUCAUGCAAAAAAUCUCCAGCUUUCGUUUUCCUCCUGAAGGGCUUCAAGGCCUUCCCUCAAGUAUAUUUGAGGUGAAGAGAGAGAAAUUUGCUACGUACAAGCAACCUCCAGGUUUAAUUUCUCUAUCUAAUGCCUUCUAUGCCUUAAGAGAGAAGAUCUGCUGUGCCCAGAGAGAAAUGUGACCUCUGGUCUUCAAGGCCAGAAGGUGAGAAUAUUGCCCGUCAAAAAGGAGAAUUUUGCUUCAUGCAAAAAAUCUGCUUUCAGUUCUCUCCUUAAGGGUCUUCAGGGCCGCAGGAGAGAAUAUCUGAGGGGCAGAAAGGGAGAAAACUGGCUACUUGCACAUACACCUCCAAAUUUCAGAAUGAAUAAGACACUCUUUGAGAUGGAAAAGGAGCAAUUGGCUUCAUGCAAAAAGCUCCCAACUUGUCUUUCUCGCCCUCUGGUCUUCAAGGCCAGAAGAGAGAAUACUGCAGGUCAAAAAGGAGAAAAUUGCUUCAUGUCAACCAGCUCCAGCUCUUUUCUCUCUACCCAAGGUCUUCAGGACCUCACUGGAGGGUUUUUGAAGUGAAAGGGGAGCAAGUUAGUUUCAUGGACCCGAUCUCCAGUUUCUGUUUCUCGAAGGCCUUCAAGGCCGCAAGAGAGACCCUUUCGAGGCAAAAGGAGAAAUCUGCUUCAUGCGAACAAUUUCUUGCUCUCAGUUUUCUAAACAUAUUUGAAAAGGAGACUUUUGCUUCAUGCAAAAAAACUGUCCUGCUUAUUUGUUCCACCUUUUGGUCUGCAAUGCCUUCCAAGAUAACAUGUGAGGUGAAAAAUGAUCCAUGGGCUUCCUGCAAACAUUCUCCAACUUUUGUUUCGCUAAGGCCGUAAAGGCCUUAGGAGAGAAUGAUUUAGGUGAAAAGGGAGAAACUGGCUUCCUGGAGCAGAUUCAGCUCCCGUUCAGUACUCCUCCUCAGGCCUUUGUGACUUUGAACAGAGAAUGAGUAGAGAAUGUCGGAGGUGCAGAGGGAGGACUUGGCUUCAUGCAGACCACCUCCAGCCGGUAUUUCUCCAUCUGAGGUCUUCACGGCCUUCCAAGAUAAUAUGUGAGGUGAAAAAGGUUCCACUUUUGUGCUUCGUGUACACAAAUGCCAGUUUUUAUUUCUCCAAGGUCUUCAAGGCCUCAAAGGAGAGGAUGUGAGGGGGAAAAGGGAGAAAUUUGCUUCCCACAAAGAGUAUCUUGCUUUCUUCCUCUACCUAAGGUCUUCAAGGCCUGAAGAGAAACUAUAUGGCAUUGGAAAAGGAGAAUUUGGCUUCACGCAGAAACUGUCCUGCUUAUUGGUCACCCCAAGGUCUUCAAGGCCAAAGAGCCUAUAUGAGGUGGAAAAGGGUGGAUUUGCUUCAUGCAAAGCAUCUCCAGCUUUUACGUCUCUCUACCAGGUCUUCAAGGCCCGGAAAGAGACUAGUUGGGGUGAAAAAAGGGAGAAAUCUGUCUCAUGGAGAUAUACUUCCUGUGCCUAUUCCACCCUCAGGCUUUCAAGGCCUAUGGAUUGAGGAGGAAUGGAGACUAUCUUGAGGUGCAAAAGGAGAAAUUUGCUUCAGGCAAACCGUCUCCAGCUUUGAUUUCUCUAGCUCAGGUCUUCAAGGCCAGAAAAGAGAAUCUUUGAGGUGGAAAAGGAGAACUUUGCUUCAUGCCUCCCAUCUUCAGCUUUGAUUUCCCUACCCAAGGUCUUCAAGGCCAGAGAAGAGAAUAGUUUGAGGUGGAAAGGGAGGAACUUUGCUUUAUGCAUACAAUCUCCAGGUUGGAGAUCUCUAAGGUCUUCAAGACCUCCAAAGAAAAUAUUUGAAGCUUAUAAAAGGAGCAGUUUGCGUCAUGAAAACUAUCCCCUGCAUUCUCUUGUUUACCCAAAGUCUUCAAGACUUGAAAAGAGCAUAUCUGAGGUGGCAAAGGAGAAAUCUGCUUCAUGCCAAACCACCUCCAGCUUGGAUUUCUCUAGCGAAGGCCUUCAAGGCCAGAAAAGAGAAUCUUUGAGGUGGCAAAGGAGAAACUUUGCUUCACGCAAACUAUCUCCAGCUUUGAUUUCUCUACCCAAGGUCUUCAAGGCCAGAAAAGACUACUGGAGGUUUCAAAGGAGACAGUGGAUUCAGGCCAGCCACUUGCCCACUUGCAUUUCUCUCCCUUUAUGGUCUUCAAGACCACAGAAGAGAGUAUUUGUGCGCAAAAAGGACAACCUUUCUCCAUGCUUUUGUUUCUCUACUUAAGGGCCAGGAAAAAAGUAAUAGAUGGGGUUAAAAAGGGAAAAGUUUGCCUCCUCCAACAACUCACCUCCUCAUGUUUCUGCCUAAGGUCUUCAAGACCUGAAGAGAAAAUGUGUGAACUAGAAAAGGAGAAAUCUCCUGUGCAUUAGUUCACUUCAGGCCUUCAAGGCCGUUGCGAGAGACAAUGAAUAGAAAAUAUCUGAGGUGGAAAAGGAGAUCAAUUUGCUUCACGCAAAGAAUUCUGCCCUUCUUUCUCGACCUAAGGUCUUCAGGGCCUGAAAUGAGAAUAUGGGAAGGCAGAUAGGAGAAGUUUGCUUCAUGCAGACACAUCUCCUGUUCAUUACUCCUCUUGAGGCCUUUUCACAGAGAAUAUUUGAGGUGGAAAUGGAGAAACUUGCUUCAUGUAUUAAAAAAUAAAUAAAAUCUGUCCUUUCUCUACCUAAGGUCUUCAGGGCCUGCAAAGAGAAUACUGGAGGUGAGAACGGAGAAGUCUGCUUCAAGCAGAAACAUCUCCCGUUUAUUACUCCACUGGAGGUCUUAACGGCCUUCCAAGAGUCUAUUUCCCCUGGGGAAAAAAGGAGAAAUUUGCUUCAUGCAAAAAACCAAAACCCCCCCCCCUUGUCUUUCUCUGCCUAAGGUCUUCAGGGCCUGAAAGAGAAUCGUUGAGAGGAGAAAGGAGACGUUUGCUUCAUGCAGAAACAUCUCCGGUUUCAUUACUCCACUUGAGGCCUCCAAGGCCUUGUCAUGGAGAGUAUCUGAGGAGACAUUUGCUUCAUGCAAACAGUCUUCUCUUCUUUGGAUCUCUACCUAAGGUCUUCAAGACCUGAAAAGAGAACGUUUGUGUUUGAACGAGAAGUUUUCUGGAUGCAAUGUCUUGCUACGGUUUCUCUAGCCUAGGUCUUCAAGGCCUUGUUCCAGAGGGAACAAAGGAGGAAUUUGCUUCAUGCAGAUAUACUUCUUGGGCAGUACUCCACCUCAGGCGUUCAAGGCCUUUUCACUGACAAUGAAAGAAAGACUGUCUGAGGUACAAAAAAGGAGGAGCCUGCUUCAAGCAAACCAUCCCUAGGUUUCCCUUCUCUGUCGGAGGUCUUCAGGGCCUCAAAAGAGACUACAGGAGGGGAAAAAGGAGAAAUGCGCUUCAUGCAAAAAUCUCCUGCUUAGGUUUCUCUAACUAAGCUGUACAAGGCCAUAAAAGAGAACAUUCGCAGUGAAAAUGGAGAAAGUUGGUUCCUACGUACAAUUUGCAGCUUGGAUUUCCCUCAGAGGGAAACAUUUGAGGCUUAAAACAUUUGCCUCAUGAAAUCCACCUCUUGCUUUCAUUUGCCUGUCUGAGGUCUCUGGGACCUGAAAAGAGAAAAUUGGAGGUGAACCAGGAGAAAUUUGCCUCAUGCAAACCAUCUCCUACUUUUCUUUCUCUCCCUAAGGUCUUCAAGGCCUCAAAAGAGAAUAGUGGAGGUGAAACGAGAGAAAUGGACUGCGUGCCAAACCAUCUCCUACUUUCAUUUCUCUCCCUAAGGUCUUCAAGACCUGGAAAGAGAAUAGUUGAGGCUUAAAGGAAGAAAUUUUGCUUCAUGCAAACCAUCUCCUGCCUUCAUUUCUCUACUUAAGGUCUUCAUGACCCAAAAAGAGAAUAUCUGGGUUGAAAAGGGACAAGUUUUCUUCAUGCAAACAACCAUCCUGCUUCUGUUUUCUCUACCUCAGGGCUGGAAAAGGCCAUCUGUGGUCUUAAAAAAAGGAGUGAUUUGCUUCAUGCAGAGCACCUCCUGGGCAUUAGUCCAUUUCAGGUCUUCAAGGCCUGGGAAUCAAGAAGCAAGAGACAGCCUUUCAUUGGAAAAAGGAGAAAGUUGCUUCGUGUACCCUAUCUCCCGCUUUAAUUUCGUUGACCUUCAGGUCUUUAGGGCCAGAAAAGAGAAUAUUGGGGUUGAAAAAGAGAAAUUUUACUUCAUCGGGACAGAUCUCCUUUGUUUCUAUGCCACUACCCGUCACUUUUAAGGCAUUGUAAUUGAGGGUGAAUAGAGACUAUGCGACGUGCACGAGAAGCCAUUUGCUUGAUGGAGGAAAAACUCCCACUUAUCUCUCUCCCUAUGGUUUUCCAGGCCUGGAAAGAGAGAGUACAUGUGAGCUGGGAAAGGAGAGGUCUUGCUUCCUGCAAAAAUGUUAUUGUUUGUUACUCCACCUAAGGCUUUCAAGGCCCUGCAAUUGAGAAUUGAGGGAGAAUAUAGAUGGUGGAAAAGCAGAAACGUAACUCAGGUGAACAAACCCCUGCUUGAAUUUGUCUCCUAAGGUCUUCGAGACCUGAAAAGAGAAUUGAUGUGACAGACAGACAAAGGAGUAGUUUACUUCAUAUAAAAAAUCACCGGGUCAUUUUUCUACCUAGGGUCUUCAAGACCCAAAGAGAAAAUAGGUGAGCUGGCAAAGGACCUGGCAAGGACACAUCUCCUGUGCCUUCCUUAGUCCACCUCAGGCCUUCAAGGCCUGUUUAUAGUGAGAGUGGCUGGAGAUUAUCUGAGGUGAAAAAGGAGAAGUUUCCUUCAUGCAAAAGUUAUCCCGUUCACUUGUCUCCCGAAGGUCUUCAAGGCCUGAAGACAAAAUAUAUGAGCUGGGGAAGGAGAAAAUUGCUUCAUGCAAAACAUCUCCUGCUUUUCUCCACUUGAGGUCUUCAAGGCCUGCAGAAGAAUAUUGGAGGUAGGACAGGAGAAAUUUGCUUCAUGCAAAAAAAUCUCCACGUUUGAAUUUCUCUCACCUAAACUCUCUAAGGCCUACAUAGACAAUAUAGGAGGUGGAAGAGGAGUAAUGUGCUUCAUGCCAAAGGAAAAUCCCAUUUAUUUUUCUACCCAUGGCCCUUAAGGCCUGCACAGAGAACAUCUGAGAAGUUAAAGGAGACAUGUACCACAUGCAGAUUUCCUCUUUGGUUUUUUAACCUCACCCUUAACUUAAAAAGUCCUUGUGCUUUGUGACCGAGAACUCACAAUAUACUUGGAACGAAAAGGAGAAAUCUGCUCCCUGCAAAAUCUUCCCCCUGAUCUGGCCACCACAGGUCUUCCCCCAAGCCUUUGCAUUAGGAGAGAAAUGAAAAUGUUUGAGACAAAAGAAAAAGGUAAAGCUUGCUUCAUGCAGACAAACCUCCUGCUUAGUACACCACUUCUGGCCUUCAAGGCCCCUUCACUUAGACUUGAGAUGAAGAGGAGACACGUGCUUCGUGCCAGUAAAUCUGCGGCUUAUUUCUCCCCCUUAGGUCUCCAAUACCUUUUGAUAGUGGAGGUGGACUAGCCCGAGUGCCAAACAGAGAGAAUAGAUUCCUACACCGUCUGUCUGGCUCCAGGCCUAAAUCUAGCUGUGCACCCUCCUGUGCUCCCUUCAGGCUCCACGCCUGGUCUUUAUGGCUUGGGUUGUUGGACAGAGAGCCAAGAGGUAGCAGUGGGGUGAAGAGCUUCAUGCUACUUCCCCCCCACCCCCCAGUCCCUGAAAGGGGUUUCCCUUUUAUCCUUCCACUCUGCCUGCUCUGCCACCUCAACCUUGGACAAAGUCACCAAACCACUCCUUGCCAUGGAACCAGAUCCUGCAUCCUAAGAGCUGAGAUGAUCUAAGUGUGGAAAUGAUGGAGAAAGGAACGGGGCCAGCCCGCUUGACUGGAGAAAGGCUCCAUUCCCGCCAUAGAACGGAGGAGGAAGGAAAAUCGGAGGACGGUUGGGUUUGGAGAAAAUCCGGCUACUGGUUAAGAGGAAAAGGCUCUGGACCCGAGGCUCGGGUCCAGGCUAGUGGAGGGCGAUCAAAGAAACGUGGAGGUGGAGGAGGGGGAGGAGGGAUUUUGUCUCAUGCCAAAUUCCAGAAAAGCUUUACUUCAUGUGAAGCGGCCUCCCCUCCAGGGCCUUCCUGCCUUCAAGACCUGAAAAGAAACUAUUUGAGUCCUAAAAGGGCUCGGAGGCAACCUGGGACAUUUCUCUUGGGAGCCUUCUGGCUUUCUGAGCGGUUAGAACUGCUCCAUUUGGACCAUUUUGGCUCAUUUUCCACGUUCAGAAAUUGGUCCACUUUUAGAGGGAAAUACCUUUCACAAGUCUAAAGUGUUAUGUCAGGAUUACAAUUCCAAACCUGUUAUGACGAAAGCACAACGGAGAUAACCCCUUGUCCCUCUCUAAAUCCUGGGUGACCCACUCAAUGUUCAAUGGAAUGUUAUUUCGCUCUCAUUCAGGAGAUAGAAAACAACAAAAAGAUUCAUGCAAGCCACCACAGGAGCCUUUAAAAAGUCAAUAAAAUAGUUCAAUAAAAUAAAAAUAAACCUAAAAAGCAAAAGGAGCGGCACAAUAAAAUACAAUAAAAUAGUUUAAAUAAAAUUUAAUACUAAAAUCACUGACAUAUAAAAUCCAUGACAUAUAAAAAUGCACAACACUCAUUCCCUUGGACAUUGAUGUAUGGGAAAUCUUAGGAUAAAAGAGAGAGAAAAAAAAUACCGAGUAUUCGACGACCAAAAACGGGGAGGUUGAUCUCUCUGCCUUUUCUAUUGCGAUCAGAUGAAUGGCUUUAUGAGCGCCAACUGACUAUAGCACUAUAGACCUACCCAAAACGGCCAAGGAAAGGUCAGCCCAGGUUCAAGGCAGUUUUACUUCAUACACUUGGCUCCAGAAUGCCUGGCACAUUGAGUGUUUUGUCGUCAAGGUUUUGAAUCUGUGCAGAUCCGGGGGGCUGCUACUCUGGGCUGGAUCUCGCCUGACCGUCGGUUGGUAAGCACCGGGAGGAGCAGAGGUAAGCGCGGGCCGGACGGAAGGAAUGUACGCAUUUUGGGGAAGGGUGGGUUCAGGGGGGAUGUCCUCAGCGUGGCCCUGGGCUCUGGAAAUUGUUCCCCUCCUGAAUGUCAGUGCAUCCGCACCUACCUUAGUUUGUCCUCUGCAACAUCUGCCAGUAGGAUUUUUGUUGCCCACGUAGAGCAAAGAGAGAAUCAGCGUUCCUAGGUCCAGGGAGAGAAAAGGAGGCCACGGUGCCACCGACCAAGAGGGAGAAUACAGCACGCUACUGCGAUGCCCGUCGGAGUGACGGCCGUUGUCCCCGCGGCCCCGUAUUGCAGCGGGGGGUAGCGGGGGCAGCCCGGUGAGAGGGGCCCGGGGGGGAGGCGGAGAAGGAUGCUGACAGACUAGGCCCGAGGAGGUGGGGACGGAGGGUCUCAACUAAGCCCACUGCAGCACUGCCACUAGGUGCCCCCUGCUCCUCAGUGGGAGGCCCACUGCAGGGGGGACGGUGGCAGUGCGGGGGAAGGAGCAGCAGGGAAGAGGGUGUGGCCGGGGACCCCUUCCCUAUCCUGUCCCCUCUGUCUUCAUUCCUUUUUCCCCAGCCCCUUCCAUUUCUCCUCCUAACCUUUCCUCCCUAAAGACAAAGAGUGAAAAAUGUUGUUUCAACAGCCUACCUCCAACAUUCGAGGACCACGGAUCUGCAGCCAAGCCAGCCCUACCUUCUCCCUGGACUCUCAACAGCUAGAGGGAAACAAUCCUGAAGCACUCCUGACUUCACCCCACGGGACCCGGACCCAUGCCAGCGCAGACCACCCACCUCCGCCCCACCCCAAUUCCCCACUGGCCCAGACCACCCAGCCCACCCCCAGGCCCCACCAGCCCUGACCCAAGCUUCAGAAUGGCUUCUGAGGCCUGGGGUUGUCCCUCACCCCCACUGGAUCCACCCCUGCCCCUUCCAGCACCAUCACAGCUAGCCAGGAGGAGCAGAAACUGGGAGAGCAGAGGAGAACAACUUGCUGCUGCUGCUGCUGCCGCCGCCACCAGCUGUGGAUCCAAAGAGUUGCACCGGAACCUAGACCCGCCUACUUUACCCUGGCCAAAACUCUGAUUGCUCUUCACUCAUCAAACCAUAUCCCCUCUGUGUUCAAGUUUCCCCACUUGGACUCUGUGCUCCUUCCAAAAUGUUGGGACUUACGGAAUGGCCAUAAGAAAACGAAGUCCUUGCUCAUGUUGUGGAAACCGUCCUGGUACCCCUUUUCCUUUUUCUACACCUGUGCCCAGAAAAGAAUACCUGUUCUUCCCCCCAACCGUUGUUACUCAGUAAAACUUGUGAAAAACCCA